ensembl:miRNA
CCUACCUGUGGAAAGGAGCUACCCAAUAUGGGUCUCCUCUCUUCUGAGAGCUGGACACUUGUUGGAAUGACCUGCCUGUAGAAAGG